rnacentral:tRNA from 1 species
GUCCUUGUAGCUUAAACCAAAGCACGGCGCUGAAGACGCCAAGAUGGACACCACCACCCCGAGGAC